rnacentral:lncRNA from 1 species
CCUCAACCUCAAGAUCUUUCCAUCUUAGAAAAUUCUUUCCAAGUAUUUUUGUGUUUUUUAACCUAUAAAAGAUAAUGGAAUAUAUUUUAUAGACUGGAUUUUAUCUCGUCCCCUUUCACUCUCUCUACUGCACUCAGUUUAAUAGUUGUCAGUUUUCCCUCAGCAUUGGAUUUAAUUACAUAGGAUCAAGAUAUUUUUGCUAAAUAUCUUUUGUGAAGUCCCUUUUGAUAUGUAGUAUAAUUUUAGAAUUCUACCU